AGUGAACGCUGGCGGUAGGCCUAACACAUGCAAGUCGAACGGCAGCACAGUAAGAGCUUGCUCUUACGGGUGGCGAGUGGCGGACGGGUGAGGAAUACAUCGGAAUCUACUUUUUCGUGGGGGAUAACGUAGGGAAACUUACGCUAAUACCGCAUACGACCUACGGGUGAAAGCAGGAGAUCUUCGGACCUUGCGCGAUUGAAUGAGCCGAUGUCGGAUUAGCUAGUUGGCGGGGUAAAGGCCCACCAAGGCGACGAUCCGUAGCUGGUCUGAGAGGAUGAUCAGCCACACUGGAGCUGAGACACGGUCCAGACUCCUACGGGAGGCAGCAGUGGGGAAUAUUGGACAAUGGGCGCAAGCCUGAUCCAGCCAUACCGCGUGGGUGAAGAAGGCCUUCGGGUUGUAAAGCCCUUUUGUUGGGAAAGAAAAGCAGCAGGUUAAUACCCCGCUGUUCUGACGGUACCCAAAGAAUAAGCACCGGCUAACUUCGUG
rnacentral:rRNA from 1 species